CCAAUAGCGUAUAUUAAAGUUGUUGCAGUUAAAAAGCUCGUAGUUGAAUUUCGGGAUCAAGGGAUCGGUCCUGCCUUGGUAUGUACUGGUUUCAUUGGUUCUCACCUUCUAAAGAACCAUGAUGUCAUUCAUUUGAUGUUAUGGGGAAUUAGGACUGUUACCUUGAAAAAAUUAGAGUGUUUAAAGCAAGCUUACGCUUGAAUACAUUAGCAUGGAAUAAUGAAAUAGGACAUCAGAUUCUAUUUUGUUGGUUUCUAGGAUCGAUGUAAUGAUUAAUAGGGAUAGUUGGGGGCAUUAGUAUUCAAUUGUCAGAGGUGAAAUUCUUGGAUUUAUUGAAGACUAACUACUGCGAAAGCAUUUGCCAAGGAUGUUUUCAUUAAUCAAGAACGAAAGUUAGGGGAUCGAAGACGAUCAGAUACCGUCGUAGUCUUAACCAUAAACUAUGCCGACUAGGGAUCGGAUGAUGUUAAUUUUUUAAUGACUCAUUCGGCACCUUACG
rnacentral:rRNA from 1 species